GUGCUCAUGGCAGUAGCGCAUAUAGUAAAAUUUGAACGGUACUGAGAAGAUUAGCUGGUCUCUGAGCAAGAACGACACCCAAAUUCAUAACUCAGUGGCUGUUCUU
ensembl:snRNA LOC120094867 U6 spliceosomal RNA